rfam:Gossypium hirsutum cultivar TM-1 unplaced genomic scaffold scaffold3877.1, whole genome shotgun sequence
CAUCCUUGAUGUGGAAAUUUCUGAAUUAGUGUCUUAAAACACUUCCAUGCUUCGUGAAAACUCUCUCACUCUAACAGUUUAAACAUAGAAAUCACCCUUCUUAGCUG